rnacentral:rRNA from 1 species
GGUAACGCGGGGGCAACCCUGGCGACGAGUGGCGAACGGGUGAGUAAUACAUCGGAACGUGUCCUGGAGUGGGGGAUAGCUCGGCGAAAGCCGGAUUAAUACCGCAUACGCUCUGAGGAGGAAAGCGGGGGACCUUCGGGCCUCGCGCUGCGGGAGCGGCCGAUGUCGGAUUAGCUAGUUGGUGAGGUAAAGGCUCACCAAGGCGACGAUCCGUAGCUGGUCUGAGAGGAUGAUCAGCCACACUGGGACUGAGACACGGCCCAGACUCCUACGGGAGGCAGCAGUGGGGAAUUUUGGACAAUGGGGGCAACCCUGAUCCAGCCAUGCCGCGUGAGUGAAGAAGGCCUUCGGGUUGUAAAGCUCUUUCGGACGGAACGAAACGGUUACGGUGAAUAAUCGUGACUAAUGACGGUACCGUAAGAAGAAGCACCGGCUAACUACGUGCCAGCAGCCGCGGUAAUACGUAGGGUGCGAGCGUUAAUCGGAAUUACUGGGCGUAAAGCGUGCGCAGGCGGUUCGCCAAGUCAGGUGUGAAAUCCCCGGGCUUAACCUGGGAAUUGCGCUUGAAACUAGCGGGCUUGAGUGCGGCAGAGGGGGGUGGAAUUCCACGUGUAGCAGUGAAAUGCGUAGAUAUCUGGAGGAACACCGGUGGCGAAGGCGGCAUCCUGGACCAACACUGACGCUGAGGAGCGAAAGCCAGGGGAGCAAACGGGAUUAGAUACCCCGGUAGUCCUGGCCCUAAACGAUGAAUGCUUGGUGUGGCGGGUAUCGAUCCCUGCCGUGCCGAAGCUAACGCAUU